rnacentral:rRNA from 1 species
AGCGAACAGGGAAGAGCCCAGCACCGAAUCCCGCGGCCGGAGACGGACGCCGGGAAAUGUGGUGUUAGGGAGGAUCCGCUAUCCCGAGAUCGCACGGCGCGCCCAAGUCCUUCUUGAACGGGGCCACUUACCCAGAGAGGGUGCCAGGCCCGUAGCGGCCGCCGUCGGUAGCGGGAGGAUCUCUCCUCAGAGUCGGGUUGCUUGAGAGUGCAGCCCUAA